rnacentral:lncRNA from 1 species
GUUAGUGGUUUAUUAGGUACUGUAUUGAUUCAGUUUUUCUGAGGCUUCUGGCCUUUUUUGUGGCACACUUUCAUGGGAGCAGUUCUGGGUGACCAGGGAACCCCUGGGUUUGCCACUGUAAUGGUAAAUUUUUUUGUUGUGGGGGGGGGGAGUUCCGGGCAACCAGGAAACCCCCCUGGAUUUGCCACUGAGUGCAAGCACCCAUUGGCUGCCCAUGGGUGUGCUGAGAAAGUCCUGUGGAUGAGGUAUCAACUGGGUGCCAACAUGUCUUCCAGAAUGCGGUACUGGUAGCACUAUGUCUAUGAGCAGCAGUGGCUGAGGACCGACUGCUCAUCUCCACUAUGCUCAACCUGAUAGGUACCCACACAAGAAGAAAUUGGGUGCAGUUAACUGCGGGCUUCUGGCUGGCCAGGAGUGACAUUGAUGCAUGAGCAGUAUGGGCAGUUGCCCCAUUCUGUUGGAACCAGCUUGAUGGAGUACUACUCUCCUCUCUGGGCUGGUGCCCCUGCUUCACACCUUUCUCAGCUUGACGCAAUGGAAACUAAGGCCUUAAAGAUCAUUGGAAUCUCCCACGAUGAAGCUGAUUCUAUGGACCGAUCACUUUGCCAUCGCAGACAGCGGUUUCCUAAAGUUUUUCGAGGGAUCACUCUUUCGAGCAGACGAAUGUUUCUACUUCUCGGCCUUGGUAUCGACCUGGAUUCUCAGGAACAUUGGCCACGUGCGUCUCGGCUGCUUUCGCCAUUACCCCUGGUGCUACGUUUGCUGAACAUAAUGGAGACUUGGAGACUGCCGGCAUUCAUCGAACCACCGUAUGACACACAGCUGUCAGUUGCCUAUACACCGCCCAGAUAA